AUCUGGCCGUUGACUAUGAGGGUAACGUCGAUCAAAAGUUUAAUGCAAUAACCUUGCAGAUGUUACACUAUAACACAUUCACGCCAUAUUUGACUAAACCACCCACGAGGUACGUUGCAAAUUUCCCUUUGUGUGGAGGCGAGUCGAGUCAUAGCAUAGAUAUAAGGUUCCACAUGUAGUAUUUCUGGUUAGGCUGCUGUAAAGUUUAGUUAUACUUCCUCCCUGUGAUCUGCCUGCAAACUGUUGGACAAAGGGGACUAUAGACAGUGGAAUUUACUACUUGGUUUCUUGUCGGUUCAAAAACGUCGUCAUCACAUUUACUGGGAAGUGACAGCUGAAUAGCACACAGACCGCAGAAGGGGACUUCCACAGACUCGCCUUUGAUCAGAGAGAUUUCUGAAGGGUGUUAUCGACAUUUAUGCAGUAAAGGAGGACAACUUUUAUUCUCCCAUUAAACCUUUCUCUCAGACAAGAGUUAUUUCUUUGUCUGGUUAAUCUCUGCUGCCAUGGAGACGUAAACAACCCCAGGAGGGGUGUUCCACUCAGGGGGAGAGGGUUGACCAGCCAUACCCAGGGGGGUGUGUGUGUGUUUUGUGGGUGUGUGUGUGUGUGUGUGUGUGUGUG